rnacentral:rRNA from 1 species
AGCGAACGCUGGCGGCAGGCCUAACACAUGCAAGUCGAACGAACUCUUCGGAGUUAGUGGCGGACGGGUGAGUAACACGUGGGAACGUGCCUUUAGGUUCGGAAUAACUCAGGGAAACUUGUGCUAAUACCGAAUGUGCCCUUCGGGGGAAAGAUUUAUCGCCUUUAGAGCGGCCCGCGUCUGAUUAGCUAGUUGGUGAGGUAAAGGCUCACCGAGGCGACGAUCAGUAGCUGGUCUGAGAGGAUGAUCAGCCACAUUGGGACUGAGACACGGCCCAAACUCCUACGGGAGGCAGCAGUGGGGAAUCUUGCGCAAUGGGCGAAAGCCUGACGCAGCCAUGCCGCGUGAAUGAUGAAGGUCUUAGGAUUGUAAAAUUCUUUCACCGGGGACGAUAAUGACGGUACCCGGAGAAGAAGCCCCGGCUAACUUCGUG